rnacentral:lncRNA from 1 species
UUCCCUCUCAAAAUCCCUCAAAACCUUAUUUAACAAAUAAACCUACAGGAUUUUAGCAUCUCAACAAAAUCAAAUCAUCAUCCAAACCCUCCUUCCUCACCUCUUCUCCACUCAUCUCCCUCUCUCGGCAGACACAAGGCCGAGCUCUGGCCAACCCAAUCCGAUUCUAACACAUCUCGACACCCUCACAUAUCGACAACAGCGUAACACCCUCCGAACCACCUUCACGUCGCCGGAGAACCAACCUCAUCGGAUAAGCUCACCGGAGCUUUACCGGAGAUCGAAGAUCACGUCGGAACUCGGAACUCUCGUCGGAAGGAGAUCCACUCGCGUUGUUUUCGGGUGAUUUGCUACUUUUUGGAUUCCUUCAUCUUUACUCGUUCAUUAUUUCCAAGAAAUCUCCUUACGCAACCACUAUUGUUUAUGCGUGAUUCUGAUCAUGCAAGGAAUCUAGUAGGAGUGCCUAGAAACACAUUAAACUUUAGUACUUGUUGUAUUGUAUUGUAUCUUCAAAUAUGUUGA